GAUGAACGCUGGCGGCGUGCCUAAUACAUGCAAGUCGAGCGAACAGACAAGGAGCUUGCUCCUUUGACGUUAGCGGCGGACGGGUGAGUAACACGUGGGUAACCUACCUAUAAGACUGGGAUAACUUCGGGAAACCGGAGCUAAUACUGGAUAAUAUUUCGAACCGCAUGGUUCGAUAGCGAAAGAUGGUUUUGCUAUCACUUAUAGAUGGACCCGCGCCGUAUUAGCUAGUUGGUAAGGUAACGGCUUACCAAGGCGACGAUACGUAGCCGACCUGAGAGGGUGAUCGGCCACACUGGAACUGAGACACGGUCCAG
rnacentral:rRNA from 1 species